CAUUGGAAUGUCCUUAUUCCUAAGUGAUAUUCAAUGGAACGGUGCAAUUGCACUGCAGUCUCAUGGAUUCACUAUGCCGCUUCAACAUCUCAUUAUCCUGCAUCGAUGGAAAUGAGCAUCAGCAAGGCAUAUAGAUUUUAUUAAUAAAUGGAGAGGAAGCAUAAUAUCAGAUGAUACAGGAGACACAUGGACUAAGAUUCUGAUACAAUGCGAAUUUGCACUAUAAGUACACAUAUAUUUCAGUUACAAAAUGAUAUUUAGUUAAAAAGUGACAAAUAAUUGAAUGAAACUCAAACUAUAUAUUUCAGUUACAAAAAAUAUUUCAGCUUAGGAAUGCAGUGUAUAAAUCAGACUAGUAACACUAAGCUUAAAUUUUAAAUGCAGUUUAAGUACUAGCACCUACCAACUGAAUAUAGAUUUUCCUUAGUGCAUUUGCACUAGGAAACUAAUCCUAACGUAUCAACAUUUUGAUCACCAUUAUAUCCCGUUGUGAAUCCAAGGAAUCAACAGUUCUAUACGAUAUGGCUAGAAAACACUGGACAUAACAGAAAGUAGCCACUUCUUUGUUGUGUGGAAAAUUUCCCAGGAUUACUUCACUAUGGAUUGGGUAAAGAAUCAAUAAGGACAGCACCCACGGUAUAACUCUCACCUUCUUCUGGGUGAAGAAGAAGGUGGCCACCGGCUUUAAGUACUAGGUGACAGGAAUUUCUUCAAACAUGUUCCAGUGAAAGCUGGGAUUUGGCGCCAAUUGCCAUAGUCGUCAUGCGCCUGUCACAAGACAAAAAACGGAACUACCUUAAAUCGCUAUACAUUUUGUUUUCUUCCUCAAACAUGAACAAACAAAAAAAUGUUUGGCUGAAACAGAGUAAUCAACUAUAUGUUUGUUUCCGCUCGUAAAUUGCAUAAGGAAAUCUUCAUCUAUUAUUUUACUCUAUGCUUACUAGCUACAACCUGUUGGAUAGAAAAACACCUUCCACCAUAUGACUGUAACUUGCCUAAAUAACCUCAAAGUAGAAAAUGCACGCUCGACACUUGUGGUACAAAUUGUAAAAUCAAUGGGUUUGCCCUUAACCAUUACUGUCUCUAAACAACACUUUUUAUUCAGUACAAAAUCUGUGACCUAAUUAGAACUUGUUCCAAUUAGUUAACAUGAAAGAAUCUACACUAAAAAGGCAUAAUCAAAGAUCUGGACUUCAGUAUAGCAAGAUUAAAUUCCCAGUGGGGAGAGGGUGGGCAGACUGCUCAUGCUGCUAACAGGCUAACUUGCACGCGACGCUGGCGGCGCCUAUGCAUAAGCACGGCCACGACGAGACAUCAGCGGCCGAGGAGGCAUCGACGGCGGGAUUAAAUGCAAAAGAAAUGUUUAUAAGGUGCUGAUAACUCCUUACCAAGCAACCUGAUAGCAAAUUAAUUCUUCUAAGCACCGAGAAUAACAAAAAAUUAGUACGAUGUUUGGUCCAAUUGGUCAAGGCCCAAAAUGCAGGUCAAGGCCAACUAUAUCAACACCUAUAAGAACCUCUACCUUAUGCAUGCCUCAUAUGCGACCUUACAAGAAUUCCUACAAACAUUCAUAAUUCUCUAGUACAGUACAUUGAAAUUGGUAGCAAACCAAACGAUUCACGCACAGAACCAAUGCACCAGCUCAAACAUUCAAUCGCCGUGGUAGGUCCCAGCCGAAGUCCCUGAACACGGGGGCUUGAGGGGGAGG
rnacentral:lncRNA from 1 species